GACGAACGCUGGCGGCGUGCUUAACACAUGCAAGUCGAACGGAAAGGCCCUGCUUUUGUGGGGUGCUCGAGUGGCGAACGGGUGAGUAACACGUGAGUAACCUGCCCUUGACUUUGGGAUAACUUCAGGAAACUGGGGCUAAUACCGGAUAGGAGCUCCUGCUGCAUGGUGGGGGUUGGAAAGUUUCGGCGGUUGGGGAUGGACUCGCGGCUUAUCAGCUUGUUGGUGGGGUAGUGGCUUACCAAGGCUUUGACGGGUAGCCGGCCUGAGAGGGUGACCGGCCACAUUGGGACUGAGAUACGGCCCAGCCUCCUACGGGAGGCAGCGGUGGGGAAUAUUACACAAUGGGCGGAAGCCUGAUGCAGCAACGCCGCGUGCGGGAUGACGGCCUUCGGGUUGUAAACCGCUUUCGCCUGUGACGAAGCGUGAGUGACGGUAAUGGGUAAAGAAGCACCGGCUAACUACGUG
rnacentral:rRNA from 1 species